rnacentral:rRNA from 1 species
AUGGCCGUGACGCUCCAGGAUGUCUCCUUGAUCACCGGUCUUCCUAUCGACAGGAGACCUCUCUGUAUGAGCACCGAUUCUGAUGGGUGGCGCCAGCAGAUGACUGCUCUUAUCGGUAUGGCUCCUACGAGGCUUGGGGGACAAGAUAAGAAGAAGAAGAAAAGGAAAGCAGUCGGAGCUGCUUUCAUGUGGAUUCAAGCAAACUUUGCACAUUGCCGUGCGGAUGCCACUGAUGAUGUGAUCCAUACACAUGCUCGUGUCUAUAUGUGGUAUGUUAUCUCGAUGACUUUGUUUCCUGACGCCAUAGGCAAGAAUGCUCCAUGGAUGUGGCUGAAGGCAUUGACCGUCUUCAAUAGCACAUGGAGCUGGGUUUCAGCGACUCUUGCUUACUUGUACCGACAAGUAGUUGGUUUGUUUUGUUAUCAAUUCAUUUCUUCAUUAGCAAUGCAACCAUGUUGUCAAGUUAACAUUGUUUUCUUUUAUAUGCAGCUGGACGAUGCGUGUUGCAGGAUCAUAGAUAGUGCAUGCAUUGGUGGUAAUCUUCUUCUACUUUACGUAUGGAACUGGGAGCGUCUGCCUGUUGGAGGCCUGAAGAGCGUCAAGUUUAAUUCUUGGGAUGAAGAUGACGAAUUACGACGCCCCACUUGGGCUUACAAGUGGGAUGUGGUAUCCGAGAUGAUGAACGAUGUUAACUCAUGUACCAAAAGUACAUCGCCGAGUUGGACACGAUUACGCCUAAGUAGGUAA